rnacentral:lncRNA from 1 species
AUGGCCUCGGCCACCCGCCCCCUGGGGACCCAGAGAGCUGGUCACCUGCCAAUAAGCACGAACAAUCCUCGCCGGGCGCGCCCCCGAACGCUCGCGCUUUCCUGCCAGGGCCGGAGGGCCCGGCCUGCCUUCCCUCCCGGCCCCCUCGAAGGUAUCCACCCAGGAGGCCACCGCCGGCCACCGCGCAGCCUCCCGGGGAUGCUCCCGAGACGCGGCGGCGGCGGACCCCGCGCCACCCUGGUGCGCGCAGCUGGACCUGUCAAAGCCCCGCUGUCCGCGGGCCGGGGGUGGGUGGGCGAGCGGCGAGGACCCCCGCCCCGCCACCCCGCGCUACACUCCGGGUGCGGAGGCGCCCGCGUGCCCACCCGGUGCCCAGGCGACCCCGCGCACAAAGUCCCAGGGAAGCGCCGAGUCAGGACGCGCGCCAGCGAGUCGGGGCUGCGCCGAGCCCGGCGGCGCGGGCGCCCGCCCCGCCCAGGACGGAGCGAGGAGGCCGCGCCAUCUGCCCCGCGCCGGUCUCCCCACAAGUCCGGAGCCCACGCGGGCCUCGGCGGCGCGCAGAGCCGAUCCCUGCUCCGCCCCCCAUCCCGGGACACAAAAGCGGCUCCGCGGCGGGGGAAGCCCGCCUCACCUGCAGCACGGGGCGCCGCGGGCCUUCAAGAACCAUCGGACCCCCGCUCCGGCGCGCGCGUCACAGCCCAGGCCUCCCGGUGCCGCCCGGCGCCGCCGCCGCCGCCGCCAUGUCCUCCCGCUCGCCGUCGCCUCGUCCCCGCUGUCAGGUCACUCCAUCCAACCUGGGGCCUGGAGCAGCCCGCGCCGCGCCGCGCCGCGCCUCCGCCUCGACCCCUCCCGCCGGCGCCUGCGGAGACUGCGCAGCGCCCGGCUCGCUCGCGGCCCGCGCACGGCCCCGCGGCAACGGCGCACGGCGGCUUGGAGAAUCUCCCCGGCGCCCGCGCCCCCGCGCUCCCCCGCUCGCCCCACGCCGGCAUGAGAGCGAGCCUGUGA